rnacentral:rRNA from 1 species
GCGAAGGUAGCGCAAUCACUUGUCUUUUAAAUGGAGACCUGUAUGAAUGGCACGACGAGGGCUUAACUGUCUCCUUUUUCCAGUCAAUGAAAUUGAUCUUCCCGUGCAGAAGCGGGAAUAAUAUCAUAAGACGAGAAGACCCUGUGGAGCUUUAGACACUAAAUCAGCCCUUGUCCAAAAUCCCAAUUAAAGGAAUGAACACUAGAGCGAGACCUGAUCUAAUGUCUUCGGUUGGGGCGACCUUGGGGAAAGAAAAAUCCCCCAUGCGGAACGGAAAUACCAUGUUUCCAAAACUAAGAGAGACCACUCAAAGUAUCAAAAAUUUUGACCAACUAUAUGAUCCGGCUUAACGCCGAUCAACGGACCGAGUUACCCCA